rnacentral:rRNA from 1 species
AUUGAACGCUGGCGGCAGGCCUAACACAUGCAAGUCGAGCGAGCGGCGGACGGGUGAGUAAUGUCUGGGAAACUGCCCGAUGGAGGGGGAUAACUACUGGAAACGGUAGCUAAUACCGCAUACCAUCAGAUGUGCCCAGAUGGGAUUAGCUAGUAGGUGGGGUAACGGCUUACCUAGGCGACGAUCCCUAGCUGGUCUGCGAGGAUUAUCAGCCGCACGGGAACUGAGACACGGUCCAGUCUCCUACGGGAGGCAGCAGUGGGGAAUAUUGCACAAUGGGCGCAAGCCUGAUGGAGCCAUGCCGCGUGUGUGAAGAAGGCCUUCGGGUUGUAAAGCACUUUCAGCGGGGAAGCGUUACCCGCAGAAGAAGCACCGGCUAACUCCGUGCCAGCAGCCGCGGUAAUUC